AUUAAAUCAAGCUUUUGCCCCAAAUUCCAAUUUAUAUCUCUAGUGCACACUGCUAGACUCCAUUGCCCAACCAAGUUGGGACUACUGGGCUGGCCUAAAGCCACAAUGGCCACCCAGUUAUUUACCCCCGAGGGCUCAGACCUGAGUGUCUUACCGUAGAUACUGAAGAGAAGUCCUUUCCCAAGCCUACCUAUCAGUGUCAGAGAGCAGGUGCUGUGGAAUAGAGGAGACUGUGAUUGCCCUUGAGAUCUACAUAAUCUAGACACAAAUCAUCUGUGUUUCUGUAGUAUGACUCCCACAUUGUUUCCACACCAUCACACGGCAGUAUGAUUGUGUUCUCAUAAAAAAAUAACUAUCUGUAAUACUGGAUAUCUGAUCUAAACUUAAGCUGAAGAAUGAAUAGUUUCCUUAAUCCUGUUCCUUUUAACUUCUGCCAUAAGAGUAGUAAGUUUUAGAAUAUUUUAGGCAAGUGUUAAAAAAUGUAUCACCUAUAAGUAUUCUUAACAU
rnacentral:lncRNA from 1 species